AUUGUACUCCCUCCGUCUCAAAAUAAAUGACUCAAAAGUGACUAAACUUUGUACUAAAGUUAGUACAAAACUGACUCAUUUUUUAGUCACUUAUUUUGGGACGGAGGGAGUAGUAU
rfam:Triticum urartu cultivar G1812 contig1449383, whole genome shotgun sequence.